rnacentral:rRNA from 1 species
CAGUGGGGAAUCUUCCGCAAUGGGCGCAAGCCUGACGGAGCAACGCCGCGUGAGCGAAGAAGGCCUUCGGGUUGUAAAGCUCUGUGUAGGGGGAAGAAACAAAUGACGGUACCCCUUUAGAAAGCCCCGGCUAACUACGUGCCAGCAGCCGCGGUAAAACGUAGGGGGCAAGCGUUGUCCGGAAUUACUGGGCGUAAAGGGCGUGUAGGCGGCAAAGUAAGUCCAUAGUGAAACCCGGCAGCUCAACUGCCGGCUGGCUAAGGAAACUGUUUUGCUCUGAGUGCAGGAGAGGGGAGUGGAAUUCCCAGUGUAGCGGUGAAAUGCGUAGAUAUUGGGAGGAACACCAGUGGCGAAAGCGGCUCCCUGGCCUGUAACUGACGCUGAGGCGCGAAAGCGUGGGUAGCAAACAGGAUUAGAUACCCUGGUAGUCCACGCCGUAAACGAUGGGUGCUAGGUGUUGUGGG